GAUGAACGCUAGCGAUAGGCUUAACACAUGCAAGUCGAGGGGCAGCAUGGUCUUAGCUUGCUAAGACUGAUGGCGACCGGCGCACGGGUGCGUAACGCGUAUGCAACUUGCCUCACAGAGGGGGAUAACCCGUCGAAAGACGGACUAAUACCGCGUACACUUGGGAUAGGGCAUCCUGACCCAAGGAAAUGAAAUUCGCUGUGAGAUAGGCAUGCGUCCCAUUAGCUAGUUGGUGAGGUGACGGCUCACCAAGGCGACGAUGGGUAGGGGAACUGAGAGGUUGAACCCCCACACUGGUACUGAGACACGGACCAGACUCCUACGGGGGGCAGCAGUGAGGAAUAUUGGUCAAUGGGCGAGAGCCUGAACCAGCCAAGUCGCGUGAAGGAUGACUGUCUUAUGGAUUGUAAACUUCUUUUAUACGGGAAUAACAAGAGCCACGUGUGGCUCCCUGCAUGUACCGUAUGAAUAAGCAUCGGCUAACUCCGUG
rnacentral:rRNA from 1 species